GAUGAACGCUGGCGGCGUGCCUAACACAUGCAAGUCGAGCGGCAGCGAGGGGUGCUUGCACCCUGUCGGCGAGCGGCGGACGGCUGAGUAACGCGUGGGAACGUGCCCCAAAGUGAGGAAUAACUGCCCGAAAGGGUAGCUAAUACCGCAUAUUAUCUUCGGAUCAAAGGAUUUAUCCGCUUUGGGAGCGGCUCGCGUCGGAUUAGGUAGUUGGUGAGGUAAUGGCUCACCAAGCCGACGAUCCGUAGCUGGUCUGAGAGGAUGACCAGCCAGACUGGAACUGAGACACGGUCCAGACUCCUACGGGAGGCAGCAGUGAGGAAUCUUCCACAAUGGGCGAAAGCCUGAUGGAGCAACGCCGCGUGCAGGACGGAGGCCUUCGGGUUGUAAACUGCUUUUAUAAGUGAGGAAUAUGACGGUAACUUAUGAAUAAGGAUCGGCUAACUACGUG
rnacentral:rRNA from 1 species